rnacentral:tRNA from 1 species
GUCCAGGGAUGGGAAUCACACCCACAGUUAUCCGCUUACCGAGCAGAUGCCAUGUCCACUAGGCUACCCUGAA